rnacentral:rRNA from 1 species
GUCCACGCCCUAAACGAUGGUCACUAGACAUUGGCGAUAUACCGUUCAGUGUCUGAGCGAAAGCGUUAAGUGACCCACCUGGGGAGUACGCCGGCAACGGUGAAACUCAAAGGAAUUGGACGGGGGUCCGCACAAGCGGUGGAACAUGUGGUUUAAUUCGAUGAUACGCGAGGAACCUUACCUGGGUUAGAAUGCUGCUGGACCGCUCCUGAAAGGGGCUUUCUCUUCGGAGACCGGUAGCAAGGUGCUGCAUGGCUGUCGU